GCUGGGCAUGGUGGCAGGCGCCUGUAAUCCCAGUUACUCGAGAGGCUAAGGCAGGAGAAUCACUUGAAGCCGAGAGGUGGAGGUUGCAGUGAGCCAAGAUUAAGCCGCUGCACUCCAGCCUAGGUGACAGAGUGAGACUCCGUCUCNNNNNNNNNNCCUAGGCUGGAGUGCAGCGGCUUAAUCUUGGCUCACUGCAACCUCCACCUCUCGGCUUCAAGUGAUUCUCCUGCCUUAG
rnacentral:SRP_RNA from 1 species